UACGGAGGGUGCAAGCGUUAAUCGGAAUUACUGGGCGUAAAGCGCACGCAGGUGGCUGAGUCAGUCGAUUGUGAAAGCCCUGGGCUUAACCUGGGAAUUGCAGUCGAUACUACUCAGCUAGAGUAUGGGAGAGGGCAGUGGAAUUCCCGGUGUAGCGGUGAAAUGCGUAGAUAUCGGGAGGAACAUCAGUGGCGAAGGCGGGUCUCUGGGCCGUAACUGACGCUGAGGAGCGAAAGCGUGGGGAGCGAACAGG
rnacentral:rRNA from 1 species